UACAGUAGGAACACUCCUUAAUGGAUGGU
rnacentral:piRNA from 1 species